UACAGAGGGGGCAAGCGUUGUUCGGAAUUACUGGGCGUAAAGGGCGCGUAGGCGGCCUUCUAAGUCGAACGUGAAAUCCCUGGGCUCAACCCAGGAACUGCGUCCGAUACUGGAAGGCUUGAAUCCGGGAGAGGGAUGCGGAAUUCCAGGUGUAGCGGUGAAAUGCGCAGAUAUCAGGAGGAACACCGGUGGCGAAGGCGGGUCUCUGGGCCGUAACUGACGCUGGAGGAGCGAAAGCGUGGGGAGCGAACAGG
rnacentral:rRNA from 1 species